GCCGCCGUAGCUCAGCCGGGCAGAGCGCCGGGCCCAUAUGGCACCGGAGAGAACCGAUCUGGGAAACCCGGUGGCCCGGGGUUCAAAUCCCCGCGGCGGCA
rnacentral:tRNA from 1 species